GUCUAUAGCCAUACCACCCUGAACACAGCCGAUCUCAUCUGAUCUUGAAAGCUAAGCAGGGUUGGGCCUGGUUAAUACUUGGGUAGGAGAAAAGAGUGUGAAGAACAAAAACUACAGAGC
ensembl:rRNA 5S_rRNA 5S ribosomal RNA